UAUAGGUAGAGUUCACACCCGUGUAAAUAAGCUUAAAACGACCUGGACAGCUGCAACUGUGUGGUUUACGAUUGUGGUGUGUGGCGCCCCAGGAAUAUUGCGGUUUUCGUGUAAUAUAAUAUAAUGUAAAAGCUGUGAAAACCCUAAGACAUCAGGACGACGUGCAAGAUAACUGAGGCCUGAAGAACUAAAAUAUUACUACAUGGAAUAUCGAAUGAAAAAUGUAUUCGGUUAUAUUUAGAAAAUUAUUUCGUUAAAGUAAGCGAUUAGUAUAAGCCAACAACAUAUGAUAUAGAAAGAGUA